CUCUUCACUACUGGAGGAUGCCCACCGU
rnacentral:sRNA from 1 species